UACCCGCAGCUCAAGUGGUGGUCAUUAUUAUUGGGCGUAAAGCGCGCGCAGGCGGUCCUUUAAGUCUGAUGUGAAAGCCCACGGCUCAACCGUGGAGGGUCAUUGGAAACUGGGGGACUUGAGUGCAGGAGAGAAGAGUGGAAUUCCACGUGUAGCGGUGAAAUGCGUAGAGAUGUGGAGGAACACCAGUGGCGAAGGCGACUCUUUGGCCUGUAACUGACGCUGAGGCGCGAAAGCGUGGGGAGCAAACAGG
rnacentral:rRNA from 1 species